UUAAGCGACUAAGCGUACACGGUGGAUGCCCUGGCAGUCAGAGGCGAUGAAGGACGUGCUAAUCUGCGAUAAGCGUCGGUAAGGUGAUAUGAACCGUUAUAACCGGCGAUUUCCGAAUGGGGAAACCCAGUGUGUUUCGACACACUAUCAUUAACUGAAUCCAUAGGUUAAUGAGGCGAACCGGGGGAACUGAAACAUCUAAGUACCCCGAGGAAAAGAAAUCAACCGAGAUUCCCCCAGUAGCGGCGAGCGAACGGGGAGCAGCCCAGAGCCUGAAUCAGUGUGUGUGUUAGUGGAAGCGUCUGGAAAGGCGCGCGAUACAGGGUGACAGCCCCGUACACAAAAAUGCACAUGCUGUGAGCUCGAUGAGUAGGGCGGGACACGUGGUAUCCUGUCUGAAUAUGGGGGGGGACCAUCCUCCAAGGCUAAAUACUCCUGACUGACCGAUAGUGAACCAGUACCGUGAGGGAAAGGCGAAAAGAACCCCGGCGAGGGGAGUGAAAAAGAACCUGAAACCGUGUACGUACAAGCAGUGGGAGCACGCUUAGGCGUGUGACUGCGUACCUUUGUAUAAUGGGUCAGCGACUUAUAUUCUGUAGCAAGGUUAACCGAAUAGGGGAGCCGAAGGAAACCGAGUCUUAACUGGGCGUUAAGUUGCAGGGUAUAGACCCGAAACCCGGUGAUCAGCCAUGGGCAGGUUGAAGGUUGGGUAACACUAACUGGAGGACCGAACCGACUAAUGUUGAAAAAUUAGCGGAUGACUUGUGGCUGGGGUGAAAGGCCAAUCAAACCGGGAGAUAGCUGGUUCUCCCGAAAGCUAUUUAGGUAGCGCCUCGUGAAUUCAUCUCCGGGGGUAGAGCACUGUUUCGGCAAGGGGGUCAUCCCGACUUACCAACCCGAUGCAAACUGCGAAUACCGGAGAAUGUUAUCACGGGAGACACACGGCGGGUGCUAACGUCCGUCGUGAAGAGGGAAACAACCCAGACCGCCAGCUAAGGUCCCAAAGUCAUGGUUAAGUGGGAAACGAUGUGGGAAGGCCCAGACAGCCAGGAUGUUGGCUUAGAAGCAGCCAUCAUUUAAAGAAAGCGUAAUAGCUCACUGGUCGAGUCGGCCUGCGCGGAAGAUGUAACGGGGCUAAACCAUGCACCGAAGCUGCGGCAGCGACGCUGAUGCGUUGUUGGGUAGGGGAGCGUUCUGUAAGCCUGCGAAGGUGUGCUGUGAGGCAUGCUGGAGGUAUCAGAAGUGCGAAUGCUGACAUAAGUAACGAUAAAGCGGGUGAAAAGCCCGCUCGCCGGAAGACCAAGGGUUCCUGUCCAACGUUAAUCGGGGCAGGGUGAGUCGACCCCUAAGGCGAGGCCGAAAGGCGUAGUCGAUGGGAAACAGGUUAAUAUUCCUGUACUUGGUGUUACUGCGAAGGGGACGGAGAAGGCUAUGUUGGCCGGGCGACGGUUGUCCCGGUUUAAGCGUGUAGGCUGGUUUUCCAGGCAAAUCCGGAAAAUCAAGGCUGAGGCGUGAUGACGAGGCACUACGGUGCUGAAGCAACAAAUGCCCUGCUUCCAGGAAAAGCCUCUAAGCAUCAGGUAACAUCAAAUCGUACCCCAAACCGACACAGGUGGUCAGGUAGAGAAUACCAAGGCGCUUGAGAGAACUCGGGUGAAGGAACUAGGCAAAAUGGUGCCGUAACUUCGGGAGAAGGCACGCUGAUAUGUAGGUGAAGCGACUUGCUCGUGGAGCUGAAAUCAGUCGAAGAUACCAGCUGGCUGCAACUGUUUAUUAAAACACAGCACUGUGCAAACACGAAAGUGGACGUAUACGGUGUGACGCCUGCCCGGUGCCGGAAGGUUAAUUGAUGGGGUCAGCGCAAGCGAAGCUCUUGAUCGAAGCCCCGGUAAACGGCGGCCGUAACUAUAACGGUCCUAAGGUAGCGAAAUUCCUUGUCGGGUAAGUUCCGACCUGCACGAAUGGCGUAAUGAUGGCCAGGCUGUCUCCACCCGAGACUCAGUGAAAUUGAACUCGCUGUGAAGAUGCAGUGUACCCGCGGCAAGACGGAAAGACCCCGUGAACCUUUACUAUAGCUUGACACUGAACAUUGAGCCUUGAUGUGUAGGAUAGGUGGGAGGCUUGGAAGUGUGGACGCCAGUCUGCAUGGAGCCGACCUUGAAAUACCACCCUUUAAUGUUUGAUGUUCUAACGUUGACCCGUAAUCCGGGUUGCGGACAGUGUCUGGUGGGUAGUUUGACUGGGGCGGUCUCCUCCUAAAGAGUAACGGAGGAGCACGAAGGUUGGCUAAUCCUGGUCGGACAUCAGGAGGUUAGUGCAAUGGCAUAAGCCAGCUUGACUGCGAGCGUGACGGCGCGAGCAGGUGCGAAAGCAGGUCAUAGUGAUCCGGUGGUUCUGAAUGGAAGGGCCAUCGCUCAACGGAUAAAAGGUACUCCGGGGAUAACAGGCUGAUACCGCCCAAGAGUUCAUAUCGACGGCGGUGUUUGGCACCUCGAUGUCGGCUCAUCACAUCCUGGGGCUGAAGUAGGUCCCAAGGGUAUGGCUGUUCGCCAUUUAAAGUGGUACGCGAGCUGGGUUUAGAACGUCGUGAGACAGUUCGGUCCCUAUCUGCCGUGGGCGCUGGAGAACUGAGGGGGGCUGCUCCUAGUACGAGAGGACCGGAGUGGACGCAUCACUGGUGUUCGGGUUGUCAUGCCAAUGGCACUGCCCGGUAGCUAAAUGCGGAAGAGAUAAGUGCUGAAAGCAUCUAAGCACGAAACUUGCCCCGAGAUGAGUUCUCCCUGACUCCUUGAGAGUCCUGAAGGAACGUUGAAGACGACGACGUUGAUAGGCCGGGUGUGUAAGCGCAGCGAUGCGUUGAGCUAACCGGUACUAAUGAACCGUGAGGCUUAACCU
rnacentral:rRNA from 1 species